rnacentral:rRNA from 1 species
UGCAAGUCGAACGGAAACGAUGCUAGCUUGCUAGCAGGCGUCGAGUGGCGGACGGGUGAGUAAUGUAUAGGGAUCUGCCUAGUAGUGGGGGACAACAUGUGGAAACGCAUGCUAAUACCGCAUACGCUCUACGGAGGAAAGUGGGGGACCUUUCGGGGCCUCAUGCUACUAGAUGAACCUAUAUUGGAUUAGCUUGUUGGUAAGGUAAUGGCUUACCAAGGCGACGAUCCAUAGCUGGUUUGAGAGAAUGAUCAGCCACACUGGGACUGAGACACGGCCCAGACUCCUACGGGAGGCAGCAGUGGGGAAUAUUGCACAAUGGACGAAAGUCUGAUGCAGCAAUGCCGCGUGUGUGAAGAAGGCCUUAGGGUUGUAAAGCACUUUCAGACGUGAGGAAAAGUAAUAAUUUAAUAAAUUAUACCUUGACGUA